CGUCAGGAUCAGCACUGACAGUAGGCACCAAGGCAUUGGGGGUGACGGUGCAGGAAUUUAGGUACUGGCAGCAUGACUACUGGAUGCAGGAGUACAGUGAAAAGAAGGCUUUGUGGCUAAAUGAGAAAGCGGAGAGAGAUUCGAAGUCAUCAUAACGUCAGUGCGGAAAGCUUCAAUCUGAAGACCUUGUAUAGCUGUUUAGCUGAAACCAUGUAUUAAAUGCGUUUGGCAAUGGAGACUUGU